AUUGAACGCUGGCGGCAGGCCUAACACAUGCAAGUCGAGCGGAUGAACGGAGCUUGCUCCUGGAUUCAGCGGCGGACGGGUGAGUAAGGCCCAGGAAUCUGCCUGGCAGUGGGGGAUAACGUCAGGAAACGGGCGCUAAUACCGCAUCGGUCCUGAGGGUGAAAGGGGGGGAUCUUCGGACCUCACGCUCUCAGAUGAGCCUAGGUCGGAUUAGCUAGCUGGUGGGGUAAAGGCCUACCAAGGCGACGAUCCGUAACUGGUCUGAGAGGAUGAUCAGACACACUGGAACUGAGACACGGUCCAGACUCCUACGGGAGGCAGCAGUGGGGAAUCUUGGACAAUGGGCGAAAGCCUGAUCCAGCCAUGCCGCGUGUGUGAAGAAGGUCUUCGGAUUGUAAAGCACUUUUAGUUGGGAGGAAGGGCAGUAAGUUAAUACCUUGCUGUUUUGACGGUACCAACAGAAUAAGCACCGGCUAACUUCGUG
rnacentral:rRNA from 1 species